GACGAACGCUGGCGGCGUGCCUAAUACAUGCAAGUCGAGCGGUCAAGUCUAAAACUUGUUCUUGCUUCAUUAGCGGCGGACGGGUGAGUAACACGUGGGCAACCUGCCCUGUAGCCGGGGAUAACACCGAGAAAUCGGUGCUAAUACCGCAUAACACCAUUAGACACAUGAUGUAUGGUUGAAAGACGGCAUUGCCUCACUCUACGGUGAGCGCCCGCGGUGUUUUCGCUAGUUGGAGGGGAAACGGCACACCAAGGCGAGGAUACGUAGCCGACCUGAGGGGGUGAUCGGCCACACUGGAACUGAGACACGGCCCAGACUCCUACGGGAGGCGGCAGUAGGGAAUCUUCGGCAAGGGACGAAGGUCUGACGGGGCAAGGCCGCGUAGGCGAGGAAGGUCUUCGAGUCUUAAAGCUCGGUUGUUAGGGAAGAACAAGGAGCGCGGGAACUGGCGUUACCGUGACGGUACCUAACGAGAAAGCCACGGCUAACUACGUG
rnacentral:rRNA from 1 species